AGUCCUCCUGGAAUUCUUUUGGUUUUUAUAUUUUAUUCUAUUGCAGUUUGAUCUAUUUAUCUAUGGUUUUAUGUGACCACUAUCAUGCUUGAAUAGAUUCACCUUGUUAGGUUUAAGGUUCAGAUAGUCGUGAGGGGUUAGCCCAAAAUAUAGAAUUCCUAAGUUGUUAGGAUAUGAAUCAAUUGAAUUUUCUUUAAUGCUUGUGUUCUAGAAUAGCUAACUAGGAGAUUGCCUAUAGAUAUUAGGGCACAAGUGGAAGCUUGGUUCUCUGUCUGAAUUAGUUUAGAUUAUGCUAGGAUUGCUAGAAACAAGCAGAAGCUGAUUUAGUUAAACCUAGUGAACAUGUCAAACCCGUGCAUUUACGCUCCCUGGAAGGUUCAUCGAUCGAUAACUCAUUAGUUUUAUCAAUCGACGGGCUGAAUGGUGUAUCGAUCGACACUCCGUUGUUGGAAUUAAUCGACACUUUCUCAAGACCAACAAGUGACAGCUGAGAUCCUAGAUCCGGCGAUAGAUAGUCUAAAAAAUGAAAGUUGAUCGACUAUUCUUAUUGCUUGAUUUCUAGAAUAUAUAAUAUAUGCUUAGUAUCUAUAUUUCUAUAAUCCUGAUUGUCUGAAUAGAAACCCUAAGUCUAACGCUUUCCACAUCUGUCUUAAAACCCCAAUCAAUCAAUCGAAAAAUUACUUGUUCACAACCUUAUUAUUUAUAUUUAAACAUGCUUUCUUAUCUUAAUCACAUAACUAGUAGAUCUAUUGUGUGUCUUAGCUCCCCGUGAAUUCGAUCCCUAAGUACUGCAACUCGACCUCUUAUUUGAGAGAGUACAAAUCACUUAUAGGGUAAUUUGAGUGAUAUCAUGCAGCAUUCAACAUUAAUAUGAGCGUGAUAUCGAAGAACGAACUUUUUGUUGAAUGAUACAACAUUUCCCUUGUCUAAUUUGAUACCCUUUUUCUCAAUAAACCUACAUCAAGCGGACGCAUGUAAGCUUAAAAUACAUUUGCGUCAAUCAUCGUCCUGCUGUUGAGAGGUUUAUAAAACAUCUUAGAACAUUUUCCGUUAACCAUAUAUGCAUUAUCCUUCUUUCCUGACCGCAAGGUCCAUGCAUCAUACAAUCCCCAAUAAUUGUAUAUAAUUUUGGAUCUACCGUCUUGUCCGGUAUUUCUGCUCAAAUAUUAUUAUCUAUAUCAUCGGCUGUCAGAAAUUUUGAUUCGUUUUCUAUAAAGAGUAGAAUAUGAGCGAGUGGUGUAGAACCUAAAUUCCACACAAAGUAUUUGAUAGUGAUCGGGGUUGAUCUAGGGAAGAUAAAUGAUGUGGGCAACGAUAUCUUUAGAACACAAAGAUGUUAAAUAGUUUCCAGUAGGUGAAAAUAGACUUUAUUGAUAAUUGGGAUCGAAUAUAAUGAAUCGAACUAAGUCGAAUGAAACACACGAGUUCGAUCAAGAAGGAAUCUAAAAGUGGGAAGACAAUAAGAUUGAUAUGAAUAAGGCUCUCUAGGGUUUUCAACGUGUCCUCCUCCUUGUUUCUUCUCCUUCUUUUGUAGCAAGUCGACUCCGAGAUCUCCGUGCCAGCUCCGCGAUUUCAGCUUCUUGUUGCGCAAUCAUUGCAACCUCUGUGACUCCUUCUUCGAGCUCGAUUCUGGUUGUGGGCCUCGGCGUGUCUCGGCCCAUGUCUCUGAUCGGGGCCAAUUUCGGUCUUGACCAAAAUUGGGUCCAACAAGUGGUAUUUCUGUUUUUUUUAAACUCAAUAGUAUACAUUACUUAAAGAUGAAAAAGAGUCCUGCAGAUUUAUAUAAACAAAAAAAUUAUCUAAAGUAGUUGUUCCAGAAAAAAAGUAAUAGAAAAUUUUUUUGAACAAUUUCAAAGAAAUUUACAUGCAUCAGUUGACCCAAAGAAGGAGCCAUUCUUUUUUGUCAACUCACCGAUACUAUUAUCGAGAUUCACCUUGAAAAAUCUACACAAUAUGUCUGGUCUGUCUUCCAUUGUUCAAUUAUAUUUGUUCAUUCAGACCAUUUUGGAUUGCACGUAAAAGUGAUGAAAAGAUUUGGAAAUUUGAAGUACUUGCACAGAGACAUGGCAUCAUAGUAGUGCUGCUUAAUAUAUUUUUUUCCUCCGGUGAAAGUGGCUGGAACUGGAAUAAAGUUGUGAAAGUGGCUGGAACUGGAAUAAAAAUUCAACUCCCUUUCUCAGCCUUCUUAAUCCCACCUCUGGCAUCUGCUUUUUGGAUUGCUUCAUAACUAUAUGACCGGAGCAUUUUAUGAUUCAGCCACAAGUAAUGCAAUCUACUCGAUUCUACUGGCGUAAGCGUCCACAAGAAACUGAUGAAACAAUCUGUCCAAUCAUGUAAUUAUAGGUGAUUUCCCCCUUCCUCUCUAAAAUCCCAAAUGCAAUGAAUUCACGCAUUGUUACCGACUUGCGCCUUCUCACAGUGGUAUCUUCAAAAUAAAUAGGAAUUUUUAAUCAAAAUGUAUCCUCUCCAUAUGGAAAUAAUAACGGAUAGUGUAGAGGUAAAUAUGCUGGUUAUAAUUCACUUAUCCUUUGUAACUUUCCACUUGUACUUUCAGUGACAUAUACAAUGAGCUGCAUAAAUGAUGAAAUGGUAACGAUAGUGUAACAACUUAGUUUUGUGGUACAUGGUGGUGUAAGUCUUAUUAGAAUUGAUAUGAGAGCAUGUCCAUUGAUUGAUACUCUAUAAGUAUCCAAAUAAAAACAAAAUGAGAAAAAUAAAAAAGAGAAGAUGAAAAGUAUCUAAAAUUAGAUGUUUUUAGAAAUUAUCUUUACAAAUAUCAAUUUAUAAGUGGUUUGAUAUUUAGAAAAAUAUUUAAAUUUAAUCUAAUAAUUUUAUUUUAUUAAAAUAAUAAUAUAAACCAAAUUAGAACUUCAAUAUUAGAACCUUACUAAAAAGUAAGAUUUCUUUUAAGAACUUAAUUUAGUUCUUUCUCUUGCUUUUGUGACAUUUUCAAUUUUAUAUUCAUAAAAAAAUUCCACAUACUCUAUGUGGUUACUAUUGAUGGAGAUGUCCUGAAUAUCUUUAUCACUAAAGUGCACUAAUAUUUCCGGAUACAUAUCCAGAAAGAACGUUAAGCAUAAUUGAGCAUAAGUAAUCAAAAGUAACAUAUCGAAAAGUGAUUCAUGAUAUCGUGAUAGUGAAGCUAAAGCACGAUAAAAUAUUAUGUGGUAAUUAAAGGGCCACCAAAUAAUUAUUAAGUCUCCUCGGCCGGGUGAUGGGGCCUACGGACUAAAUGAGCGGGUGUGGAGACUCCACUGGCUGAAUGAGCAGGUGUGAGGGCCCACUUGCUGAAUGAGCAGGCGUGGGGGCUCACAGGCCGAAUGAGAAGGUGUGUGGGCGGCGUGUGGGCCCACAGACCGAUGAGCGGGUGUGGGGAACAAUUUGCUGAAGGAGCAGGUGUGGGACCCACUGACCGAAUGAGCGGACAUGGGAGACUACAGUCCGAUGAGCGAGUGUGGGGGUCUCACUUGCGGGAUUGAUCAUGAAGAGCAACGAGAUUGUUGUGCUUUGUGAGAAGGGGUGAUUACGGUAUAAGAUAGUGUAUGUUGAAACUUGAAAUUUUUUUAAAAAAAAAUUGAUGUGGCUACCUAUGUCACCAAAAUACACUUCUCUUUUGGGAACAAAUUCAGAGAGAAUUUUAAAGUUAAGCGUGUUUGAGUUGACUAAUAAAAUGAUGGGUAAAGCGUGAAAAAAUAUCAAAUGGUUUUUGCAAGAUCAAUAACCAAAUAUUUCUAUCAUUUGAGAAACUGGCGCUCUAGCUGUCGGCUGGGAGACCGAGGACAAGUGUGGAAACCACUGACAAGAUAUGCCUUACAAAUAGUCUUAGUUGAACUUGUAUUCUUGGAAUUGAUAAGGAUCCAGAGAUAUUGCUAUUUGUGAUUUUUGUGUGGGUUCGAAAAUGUCGUUCUCUUUGAUGUUAAUAUACCAGAGUAUCUAAACUAUUAAAACAGGAGUACAAAUAGAAAAUAACCUUGAGUUUUCCUCAACAAUUACUUAUCCAUGCCAUUAGAUUAAAACAAAUCGUUCGCUUUACCUAUCUAUUUAUUCCCUUUUAAUAAAUUCACCAUUAACAAACCGCCUUACAACACUAAAAUUGUCCGUAGCAAACCGGAUACAAUCUGUGGUUUGUAUAACCACUUCCUUAAUAUUAGUUAGCUCCACAAUCUUUUUUAAAACACUACUCCCUCUGUUUUUUAAUGUUACAUAUUCUAGAUUUUUCACACAUUUUAAUAAAACAUAUUAAAUUUGCAUAUUUUUGUGUUUUAAUUUUAAACCAAUAAUAAUUCAGUAAAUAUAAUUGAGUUUUUUGAAAUUUGCAAUUAGUUAAUAAAACAUGUCUUGAAAAUGUAAAAAAUAGAUCUUUUUAAAACAAUUUUUUUCUUAGAAUAUGUAAUAUUAAGGAACAGAGGGAGUACAAUUUAGCUUGACUUGAUUACAACUUUCUUUAGUGGAGAUCUUUUGCCGUUUAUAUAGAAAUAUUAUAUUGAAAAUAUAUUUUUGAGACACAAAACUAAAUUAGCUCCACCAAAUAACACAAAAAUCUGAAUCACUCCAAAACAAUAUAAUUUUCUAAUUAUAAUUUUUAUGCUUAAUAUAAUAUUAUGAUUUUUGAUAUUUUUAUAAUUAUAUAAAAUUUAAAUAUUGUUAAUUUAUUAUUUAACCUCUGAUAUGUUUGGUAAUUAACCAGUCAUAAGUAUCUCGUACCAAUUUAUAACCGCAGAACCAGUCAUAUAAAUCUCUUAAAACCGAUAGAAACCGCAACCAUCCGCAUUCACAAACUCUCGCAACCGCUGCUGCUGCGUUUGAACCAGUCAGGCCCUAAGUCAGUUAUCUUUAUAUAUAUAAUAGAGUUUCCUCUCUCCUAGGCGUGCCACGUAGGCGGACACGUCAGAAAGUCGAAAGCUCUAGGCGUGACACGUGUCUCAUCUCCUUAAACUUUGCGUUUCAUUAAGUCAAAUAUUUCAUUUGUUUGGGCUUAUUCCGUUUGUGCUUUCGGGCUCUGUGGAGUCUAACCCUAAUUUUGUUUUCACGAAACAUGAAACUUUACGGUUUGUCUCUCCCCUUUCGGCCACUUCUGAUUUCUGACCACGAUCGUAACGAUCGAUUGUCUCUCCCCUUCCUCUGUCACCUUCAAUGGUGUUUCAAGAAAUUGUUUGUCUCAGAUCUCUGUCCCCUUCAAUGGUGUUUCAAGAGAUUGUUUGUCUCAGAUCAAUCUGCAGCCGCGUCUCUUUGUCUUUCUACCUACUGAUUAUUAAGUGAUGUUGUCCCAAUCCUUGGAAUAAGCGGAAACAACAUCAGAUGACUGAGCAGGUAGGUCGCUCUUUUUGGAUAUGAUUACACCAAAGAUGUGGGGGCUGGUCAGACAAACUUCUGUUUAUCAUUGAUUCUAUUGAAGCUUGAAGAUUAUCAACCACCAUGCCAUCUUCAAAUGGAGUUACAAAACAGAGAAAUAUACUCAGUUAUAUUCUAUUGGAACACUUGGUGUUGCAAGGAUUUCCCACUACAAAGACCUAGACGUUAGGUGUUGCAACUGCGUUAAGAGCUUUGUCUUGCUCCGCGCAACUAGCUGUGCAGUAAUGUCCGACUAGGCAGCAUGUUCUAUUACAGUGCCUCGAGGUUUUCACCAAUCAGAAGAGACCAUUCCACAUCUUGGAACACUUCAUAAGGAUAUGUUCCUAU